rnacentral:rRNA from 1 species
GCAGCCUGAUCAGCCAUGCCGCGUGAGUGAUGAAGGCCCUAGGGUUGUAAAGCUCUUUCACCGGUGAAGAUAAUGACGGUAACCGGAGAAGAAGCCCCGGCUAACUUCGUGCCAGCAGCCGCGGUAAUCA